rnacentral:rRNA from 1 species
AGAGUUUGAUCCUGGCUCAGAACGAACGCUGGCGGCGUGGUUCAGGCAUGCAAGUCGAACGAUACCGCAAGGUAUAGUGGCAGAAGGGUUAGUAACACGUGGGCAAUCUACCCCCGAGUCGGGGAUAACAUCUCGAAAGAGGUGCUAAUACCCGAUAAAAUUCUCAGGUCGCAUGAUCAGGGAAUCAAAGGUGGCACGCAAGUGCAGCCGAUUGGGGAGGAGCCCGCGGCCUAUCAGCUAGUUGGUGAGGUAACGGCCCACCAAGGCUUUUGACGGGUAGCUGGUCUAAGAGGACGAUCAGCAACAUUGGGACUGAGACACUGCCCAGACUCCUACGGGAGGCUGCAGUCGAGGAUCUUUAGCAAUGCCCGAAAGGGUGACUAUGCGACGCCGCGUGCAGGAUGACGGCCUUCGGGUUGUAAACUGCUGUCAGGGAGGAAGAAACCACGGGUGUUAACAGCAUCCGUGCUGACAUCACUCCCAAAGAAGCC